rnacentral:rRNA from 1 species
UGGGGAAUUUUGGACAAUGGGCGCAAGCCUGAUCCAGCCAUACCGCGUGAGUGAAGAAGGCCUUCGGGUUGUAAAGCUCUUUCAGACGGAAAGAAACGGUCGCGGCCAAUACCCGCGACUAAUGACGGUACCGUAAGAAGAAGCACCGGCUAACUACGUGCCAGCAGCCGCGGUAAUACGUAGGGUGCGAGCGUUAAUCGGAAUUACUGGGCGUAAAGCGUGCGCAGGCGGUUUGGUAAGACAGGUGUGAAAUCCCCGGGCUUAACCUGGGAACUGCAUUUGUGACUGCCAGACUAGAGUGUAGCAGAGGGGGUAGAAUUCCACGUGUAGCAGUGAAAUGCGUAGAUAUGUGGAGGAAUACCGAUGGCGAAGGCAGCCCCCUGGGCUAACACUGACGCUCAUGCACGAAAGCGUGGGGAGCAAACAGGAUUAGAUACCCCUGUAGUCCCUGAGCGGGCUGGCAAGGCGCAU